UGCAGUCGACGAGAAAGUCACCUUCGGGUGGCGAGUACAGUGGCGAAGGGGAAGUAACGCGUGAGAAACCUGCCUUGAAGCGGGGGAUAAACACCUAAAGGGGUGCUAAUACCGCAUGUGGUGUGAGAUUCGCAUGGAUCACACAUUAAAGGUGGCCUCUAUUUAUAAGCCAUCACUUCAAGAUGGUCUCGCGUCCGAUUAGCUUGUUGGUGGGGUAACGGCCUACCAAGGCGACGAUCGGUAGCUGGUCUGAGAGGAUGGUCAGCCACACUGGGACUGAGAUACGGCCCAGACUCCUACGGGAGGCAGCAGUCGAGAGGCUUUGUCAAUGGGGGAAACCCUGAACAAGCGACGCCGCGUGGGGGAUGAAGGCUUUUGGGUUGUAAACCCCUUUCAUUAGGGACGAAUUGGCGGUGGAGUAAUAUGCCACCGUUUUGACGGUACCUACAGAAGAAGCUCCGGCUAACUCCGUGCCAGCAGCCGCGGUAAUACGGGGGGAGCAAGCGUUGUUCGGAAUCACUGGGCGUAAAGGGCGUGUAGGCGGUUUGGUAAGUGAGGUGUGAAAGCCCCCGGCUCACCCGGGGAGGGUCAUCUCAUACUGCUGGACUUGAGUGCG
rnacentral:rRNA from 1 species